GCCAAACAGCUAGCUCAAUUACCCAAUAACUAAACAAUAUAAAUAAAACAAAAUAAGCCUAACACCAAAAAUUAAAUCAUUCUUUUACCUUAGUAUGGGCGACAGAAAAGGUUACACCUGGAGCAAUAGAAAAAGUACCGCAAGGGAAAGCUGAAAGAGAAAUGAAAUAACUUAUAUAAGCACCAAAAAGCAAAGAUUAAAUCUUGUACCUUUCGCAUCAUGAUUUAGCCAGUAUAUCCAAGCAAAGAGACCUUUAGUUUGAAACCCCGAAACCAAGUGAGCUACCCCGAGACAGCCUAUUAAGGGCCAACCCGUCUCUGUGGCAAAAGAGUGGGAAGAGCUCCGGGUAGAGGUGACAGACCUACCGAACUUGGUGAUAGCUGGUUGCCUAAGAAGUGAAUAGAAGUUCAGCCUCGUACUCCCUGAAUCAAAAGAUAUAAAAAGAUAUUAGAGGGAAAUAUAUGAGAGUUAGUUAAAGGGGGUACAGCCCCUUUAACAAAGGACACAACCUUUCCAGGAGGAUAAAGAUCAUAAUACAUAAGACAUCCUGUUCUAGUGGGCCUAAAGGCAGCCAUCUAAACAGAAAGCGUUAAAGCUCAGACAGAAAUAAGUUUAUUAUUCCGACAAGAAAUCUUACUCCCCUAAAUAUUAUUAGGCCAGCCCAUGCCCACAUGGGAGAGACUAUGCUAAAAUGAGUAACAAGAAGGCCAGCCCUUCUCCAAGCACAAAUGUAAGCCAAACCGGACCGACCAUUGGCAAUUAACGAACUCAACCCGAGAGAGUAAUGUGUAUUACAACGAAACCAGGAAGAACCCACAAUUAACCCAUCGUUACCCCCACACUGGCGUGCUAUUAAAGGAAAGACUAAAAGAAGGGAAAGGAACUCGGCAAACACAAGCCUCGCCUGUUUACCAAAAACAUCGCCUCCUGCAACACAACCAAGUAUAGGAGGUCCAGCCUGCCCAGUGACUACAAGUUCAACGGCCGCGGUAUUUUGACCGUGCAAAGGUAGCGCAAUCACUUGUCUCUUAAAUGGAGACCUGUAUGAAUGGCUAAACGAGGGCUUAACUGUCUCCCCCCUCCAGUCAGUGAAAUUGAUCUACCCGUGCAGAAGCGGG
rnacentral:rRNA from 1 species